rnacentral:rRNA from 1 species
GCCAAUGCAUGCUUUUACAGUAUGGAAAUUGGUGAUUUAUAAUAACUUAGCAAAUCGCAAAGUGAAAACAGGCGAUAAAUCAUUCAAGUUUCUGACCUAUCAGCUUUCGACGGUAUGGUAUUGGCUUACCGUGGCAGUGACGGUUAACGGGGGAUUAGGGUUCGAUUCCGGAGAGGGAGCCUGAGAAACGGCUACCACAUCUAAGGAAGGCAGCAGGCGCGCAAAUUACCCAAUUCUAACAGUUUGAGAGAGGUAGUAACAAGAAAUAACAAUACAAGGCAAUUAAAAUGCUUUGUAAUUGGAAUGAUAGAAAUUUAAACCCUUUUUAAAGUAUCAAUUGGAGGGCAAGUCUGGUGCCAGCAGCCGCGGUAAUUCCAGCUCCAAUAGCGUAUAUUAAAAUUGUUGCAGUUAAAAAGCUCGUAGUUGAAGUUCUGCUAAAAGUAACCGGUCUGCUUUUAAUAAAAGUGGUAUCUUGGUGUGUAUUUAGCAAUGAUGUCCUUUGAAGUGUUUUUUACUUUAUUGUAAUAAAGCAUAUUCAGGACUUUUACUUUGAGAAAAUUAGAGUGUUUCUAGCAGGCUGACGCUUUGAAUACUGCAG